rnacentral:tRNA from 1 species
GUUUCUGUAGUGUAGUGGUUAUCAUGUUCGCCUAACACGCGAACGGUUCCUGGUUUGAAACCGGGUGGACACA